rnacentral:pre_miRNA from 7 species
GUCUAGGACCUCUGGGUGGUCGCGCUGAUUCCCGGCCAAUGCACCAAAUGAAAGACUCCCAAAGGGAGACUCUCCCUCAGACACUCAAGUCCCGGGACAGCCGCGUACCCAAGAAGACACUGAGACCA